GACAGCUUGCUGUUGGUGGAUGAGUGGCGAACGGGUGAGUAACACGUGAGUAACCUGCCCCUGAUUUCGGGAUAAGCCUGGGAAACUGGGUCUAAUACCGGAUACGACCUCCUGACGCAUGUUGGGUGGUGGAAAGUUUUUCGAUCGGGGAUGGGCUCGCGGCCUAUCAGCUUGUUGGUGGGGUAAUGGCCUACCAAGGCGACGACGGGUAGCCGGCCUGAGAGGGCGACCGGCCACACUGGGACUGAGACACGGCCCAGACUCCUACGGGAGGCAGCAGUGGGGAAUAUUGCACAAUGGGGGAAACCCUGAUGCAGCGACGCAGCGUGCGGGAUGACGGCCUUCGGGUUGUAAACCGCUUUCAGCAGGGAAGAAGCGAAAGUGACGGUACCUGCAGAAGAAGUACCGGCUAACUACGUGCCAGCAGCCGCGGUAAUACGUAGGGUACGAGCGUUGUCCGGAAUUAUUGGGCGUAAAGAGCUCGUAGGUGGUUGGUCACGUCUGCUGUGGAAACGCAACGCUUAACGUUGCGCGUGCAGUGGGUACGGGCUGACUAGAGUGCAGUAGGGGAGUCUGGAAUUCCUGGUGUAGCGGUGAAAUGCGCAGAUAUCAGGAGGAAC
rnacentral:rRNA from 1 species